AAUACUCAAAACUUUUAAUAAACAUGGUGCUCACAUGAUCCAUAUUAAGAUUAAAGAACAGGCUACUUGCAUACAUGAUCCAACAAGAUGAGGACAAAUAACUUAUACUUGAUAAUUCAUGUAAGAAGACAUAAACAUAACAUGAUCCAUAAAAAGAUUAAGGCAAGUUACUUACAAUACUUUGUUAUCCAAAUUUCUUAAGUCCAAGUGACCGAUCCUCAAUCACC
rnacentral:lncRNA from 1 species